rnacentral:lncRNA from 10 species
UCCUAAAUAGCCCAGAAUAUUCUUCAAGCAUGCCCCUGGCUCAUCAUCCAACUUCAGAGAAUCAACUGGCUAGCACCUUGGAGCACCUGCUGUGGUAAGGGCUCCUCUGCUAAUGCUUCUGGGAGACACCUUCAUACGGCCAGCGCCAGGAGGCGAGAGGAGAGGAAAGGAAGUCUUCUCUUCACGCCCUCCUGGGGCCCGUCUUGGCGUUGUGUGUGGUGGAGGGGGACGAAUCUGGGGUCCGCAGUCGCAGCCUCCUCUUGCUGCUGCCGCCUUCAUCCCCGAAAUCCUGCUCCUAACCAUCAAUAGGAACCCUGAAAAAAGUCAGAGGUGUGAAGUGCACACAUAACCCUGGGCCACAAACUCGGUCCCGGACGCCACAGGACAAUCGCUCACCAGGACCACACAUCCUGGCCGGAAGAUGGGCGGGUACCGCGGCUCCCGAUGCUUCCGGCUCCUCUAGGAAGAGGCUCUGGGUGGUGGCCUCACGCGCCCCCUCCGGGGAGGGAGCCGCCGCGGGGUUUGAGGGCGCAGUAGGCUCCCGUCCUAGCGGGUCGCAGCUCCUUACAAGAUUUUGAAAUGUUGGUGGAUUAAUCUUCUAGAAGGGUGCUAGGUCUCCCCGUUUCCCCCGCCACCAACUUUAGAGUUGUGGUGUACAAGCGCUAUCUUUUCUGAUGUUAUAUCCCAUAGGAAUAUUUUCAGUGACAUAAUCAAGUUUAAGCAUUAAGAACUAGGGCCCUGGAAUAAAAUGUGCGUUAAAAUCCUGGUUCUACCACUUACUAUGUGAUCUUUAGCAAGAUAGUUAACUUCACUACAGCUCAAUUUUCUCAUCUAUAAAAUGUGAAAAAUAAUAGUUACAAAAUGAGAUAGGACAUACUAGCACACUACCUGUAAAAAACUGUGGGCUCAACAUUACCUUAAAAAACAAUCCAAAUAUUGUGUUACUUAGAUCCCGUCAGGACAUUUUUAAAGUCAUUGAAAAUAAAUGCUAAGCUAUUUCUUAUAAAGCCUCUUAGUGGGAGAUUUUGUACAUUUCACAUUAGAUUAUCAUACAUCUAACAUCAAGGUCCUGUUUACAUUUUAUAAUGUAAAAGCCUUACAUACUGUGGAAUGUUUAAGACUUAAAUCAUUCCUCCCUACCCUCUUUCAUAUACUAUCGCUCUAUACUCUCUUCUCAGUCUUUUUUGUAGAGAGCAGCCAGCAACAACGAAAUAACAUUUCAGGACCAUUAUUUCCAGUACUAACUUCCUCAGUAAUCUUCCACAAUUGCCACGGGCCGGAGAAUCCUGUCAGUUUCUGUUACUGUCAGUUUCUGUUAGGAGAACUCCUUAUAGUCCCUAUCAACUUACCCCAGAAAGGUGCCAAAAACCAGUAAAAGCCUGGUUAUCCUGUGUCUAUCCUCCAACUUCUGAGGUUUAGUUCAAUUUGAACACCUUUUCUCACUCCUAACCCAAUUUUUCCUUAAUUCAAUUCUAUUCUCUUACUGUCUUACUUAAAUGUCUGGAUUCUGGCCUCUUCCCUGGGGUGUUCUUCUGGUUUUUUACUUCCUGGUAUGACCUCUGGACACAGAUUUUGGCCUCAUAUAGGAAUGCCACCAUUACAUAUGUCCUCAUUUGACAUUACUCUCUAACUUAACAUGAGCAUCUUAGUUUUGUGGUCUUCAGUUUUU